AAUGCAUGUCUGGUACUUUUUAAAUGAAUUUCAUAAAUAAUUUGUAUUUUAAAUUGAGAAUUUCUCCAGUUUCCACCAUUGUAAAAAUAAUGUGAGAUGCCUUGGAACAUUCUGGUGACUAAUAAUGAUGUACAAUGGAAAUGACAUUUCAUUACUUAGAUAAAAUGGAUUCAAUGGACUGAUUAGCAUAAAUAACUAUGAUGGAAAACCUUUGAAGGCAGGCAGGAUAGCAGGUCUUGAAGGAAGAUGGUCAAAUAAAUCUUCAACCAAGUCUGAGGCUUUACCAAGAAAUUAAGAAGGUUCUUCUGUGAUAUGUGUUCAUUGUGUGGGAAUAAGACUUGGUGGUCUAAUACAACUAAUACGAAGGUUAGCAUCACACCUUGUCUGUAAGGAUUGAAGCUGGGAGUGGGCAUUAGAGCUGACUUUUAUGGUAACUGUGACUGCAUAAAAGGGCUAUGUGAUUUUACUGUAACAGCAUAGAAUGUAAUUCAGACUAUUUUUUGUAUGUUUGAGAAAAUGUAUAUAAUUUUUACCAUAUAAAGAAAAAAAAUAUGUACAGGUUCUCCAUUUUCAAAAAGAUUGGAAGUUGUUGGUUGAUAAAUCUUUGAAAUUUAAAAAAAUACUAUUUUUUGUUCAUACUCAUAUCUGGAGAAAACACUUCAAGUAGUUUAAGAAUGGAGAAUCUAAAAAAAAAAAGAAAAAAUGUUCAAUUAUUGAAAGGUUUUUGUUCAGCCUUCGACUUUAGUCCAAAAAGAGAGACAUAGGGAUCCUGCAUUCUGUUAUUGGCUUGGUAUGCCGGCGUCAACAUAGGAGGGGUCCUGAUCCUGAAACCCAUGAUGCUUAAAAACAUGGUCCUGAGGUCCCAAAAUUGGAAAAAAAUAAUUCUUGGAUGCUGAAAGGGUCAAUCCCGAAAUCCUUAGCUUAAAAACACCCGAUCCCGUAGUCCUGAUAAAGAUUCUAUCCCCCCUCAAAUAUAUUUAGUAAUUUACUUGCAUAAGCUUGACUUAAGCUUUUUCCUCAUUUUUGUUGAGUCUGCAUUUAACAGCAAAAGUAGGAGAGACACUGGGUUCUGUGGAACCCUUACAAAUUUAUCAAGAUUCAAAAUAUCUAAACAUUUUUUUUCUGGUGUAAUUUGAAAAGUCCCUCCUUCCCCUGGACAACCAAUUAUUUAUUGCUUAAAUUAUUUGGAGGAAUUUACUUUAAAAGGUUAAAAAAAAAAUGAUAGUAGUUAAUACUGUA